AUGAGUGAAUGUUGGUUAAAGAUAAGAUUAAUGAUAGAUCAAGUUACAAACUCCCACACUAAUGUAUAGAAACAACCCCAGGUGGAAUUUGGGUCAGUUAAGAUUUAUAUAUGCAGGCAAACAUGAGGUCAGAAGCAAAGAAAUAGUUCUUGCCUUUUCUCUUCAUUAAUUGAUAAAAAAACAAGUGUAUAUAAAAAGGAUGUUUUUACAAUAGCUUUUCAACUUUAGUAUUUGACACCAUCUUUAGCUGUCCAAAAAAGUGUAUGUGUGGAAUCAAUUUAUCUGUGUAGUAAUACCAAAAUUUGAAAUCUGGCAUAUGAUGAGUCAGUCUGUGCAGGGAGAAAAUGGGAACACAUUGUGAGAGGUAACAAUAUUAUACUGUUUAUUUUUUUAAAAUUAUUACUGUCUUUGACAUUGUCUUAAUUACUUACUCUUACCAAAUUUAUACUUGAAUUUAAAACAACAUUUACAAAACUGCUUUAAAUUAAAAUCAACAAAAUUUAAUCUCCUUUUAUGUCUUAGGAAGUUUGGCAGAUGGAAAAAUCCCAGAUAUAUUUUCUGGAAUAUAGCUCAGUCAUGUUUAUAACACUGCUUGUAAAAUUGUAUCAUUUUGUAAUUAUUUACAUUAUUGAUUAGUACUAAAGAUACAAUAUAUACUUUAAACUGUUCAUACCAGGGACCUUUUGUGAAAAAAGUGCAACUUUGUGACAUGAUCUGCCUGCCUGACUGUAUAUACCUGAGCAGGCCAUACAGCUUAUUACUGCAUAAAAGAAACAUAUCAAGAUAAUUCUGAAUCAGAUUGUGUGCUGGAAAAAUGGCCUUACAUCCAAAGGAGUGAAAUUUGGAGUCAUUUGCCAUCUACUUAAGCCAUCCUGGAAUAUGAAAAAAUAAGACUGCAUUGACAACAUCCUGAUCCUCGUGUUCAGAUCUUUUGUGAUUUCUUGUGAAGGGUCUUUGAUUUUUGCAUAAAAAUAAAAAAUAUAUUAAUAUAAUUUGA